UGUUGAAGCUGUUAGCUCUCCCUCACUUGGAAGAUUCCUCGGCUAUGUGUCAACUACUAUGGUUGUAAAGCCUGGCCCUGUACUGGACUUCCUUUGUGAGAAUUAGAAUGUGAAACAUCCAGAUUUUAUUGAUUGGACCAAGGCAAAAAGUGUGCUGAAAAACCUCAGAAUCAAGGUUAAUAAUUUUGAGUUCAAAAUCAGUGGACUCAGUGAUAAUACUUGCAGGACUCAGAAGUGCUACCCUGUUAUCAAGUUCAUCUAACAUUUUGU